rnacentral:lncRNA from 1 species
CAGCACUUUCGGAGGCCGAGGUUGUAAAGCAUAUCACAGAGUAAAAAUGUAAACAAACCAGAGAAGAGAAGAAAUGGAGUGGAACACAAAUUAUGUGUUCAAACCAGAAGUGAAAGAGGAAGGAAAUUGGAAGACAAUCUGGCAGUAUCUAUCAAAAUUUCAAAAGGCUAUUUCCUUUCAUACAGCAAUCUCACCACCAGGAAUUUAGGUGAAGGAUAUAUUUGGAAAAGUACCUUGAGAUGUCAAGUGUGUGUAAGAACAGCAACUGUUUGCAGCAAAAAACCCAGUCCCGGCAGCGCGGCCUCAGUGGGAGCUUC